rnacentral:lncRNA from 1 species
AUCCUCACUAGUGCAGUAUUGAUGCCAAAGUGCAGCACGAUCAACAUUUGCAAGUUCAGCCACCUCCCUCAUCAUGCUGAGAACUGGUCUAACAAUUUCUUGCUCCUCGUGAAUCAAGAUUACCAAAAUCUCCAAAUCUAAAUCUACUUCACGUGCACCUUCUGUCAAACUUGUGGCACGAUCAACAAGCCUCUUGAGGAUCCUCAAUCGGUAAGACUCGUCAGCAUACCAUUUGAACAAAAUGGUGUAAAGCAACUUUACAAAA